rnacentral:rRNA from 1 species
GGGGAAUUUUCCGCAAUGGGCGAAAGCCUGACGGAGCAAGACCGCGUGGGGGAGGAAGGUUCUUGGAUUGUCAACCCCUUUUCUCAGGGAAGAACGCAAUGACGGUACCUGAGGAAAAAGCAUCGGCUAACUCCGUGCCAGCAGCCGCGGUAAUACGGGGGAUGCAAGCGUUAUCCGGAAUGAUUGGGCGUAAAGAGUCCGUAGGUAGUCAUCCAAGUCUGCUGUUAAAGAGCGAGGCUUAACCUCGUAAAGGCAGUGGAAACUGGAAGACUAGAGUGUAGUAGGGGCAGAGGGAAUUCCUGGUGUAGCGGUGAAAUGCGUAGAGAUCAGGAAGAAC